rnacentral:rRNA from 1 species
GACGAACGCUGGCGGCGUGCCUAAUACAUGCAAGUAGGACGCUGAAGGAGGAGCUUGCUUCUCUGGAUGAGUUGCGAACGGGUGAGUAACGCGUAGGUAACCUGCCUGGUAGCGGGGGAUAACUAUUGGAAACGAUAGCUAAUACCGCAUAAUAGUAGAUGUUGCAUGACAUUUGCUUAAAAGGUGCAAUUGCAUCACUACCAGAUGGACCUGCGUUGUAUUAGCUAGUUGGUGGGGUAACGGCUCACCAAGGCGACGAUACAUAGACAACCUGAGAGGGGGAUCGGCCACACUGGGACUGGGACACGGCCCAGACUCCUACGGGAGGCAGCAGUAGGGAAUCUUCGGCAAUGGACGGAAGUCUGACCGAGCAACGCCGCGUGAGUGAAGAAGGGUUUCGGAUCGUAAAGCUCUGUUGUAAGAGAAGAACGAGUGUGAGAGUGGAAAGUUCACACUGUGACGGUAUCUUACCAGAAAGGGACGGCUAACUACGUG